AUAAGCAAAAAAAGGGCGUAUGGGGGAUGCCUAGGCUCUCAGAGGCGAAGAAGGACGUGAUAAGCUGCGAAAAGCUACGGGGAGGAGCACAUAUCUGUUAAUCCGUAGAUAUCCGAAUGGGGCAACCCACUAAGUUGAAGACUUAGUAUCCGAUAGGAGGCAAACCCGCUGAACUGAAACAUCUAAGUAGGCGGAGGAGAAGAAAACAAAAGUGAUUCCGUAAGUAGUGGCGAGCGAACGCGGAAGAGCCCAAACCGUUGUUGUUAAGGCAAUAACGGGGUUGUAGGACCACAAUAUUUUAUGCUAAUCGAACUAGAAUUACUUGGAAAAGUAGACGAUACAAGGUGAUAGUCCUGUAUAGGUAAGAGCAGUAAUAAAUAGUGGUAUCCUGAGUAGGGCGGGGCACGUGAAACCCUGUCUGAAUCUGGCGGGACCAUCCGCUAAGGCUAAAUACUCCUGAGAGACCGAUAGUGAACCAGUACUGUGAAGGAAAGGUGAAAAGAACCGUGAAUAACGGAGUGAAAUAGAUCCUGAAACCAUACGCCUACAAGCGGUCGGAGCCUUUUUAAGGGUGACGGCGUGCCUUUUGCAUAAUGAGCCUACGAGUUACCGUUGCUGGCAAGGAUAAGCACUUCAGGUGUGGAUCCGUAGCGAAAGCGAGUCUGAAUAGGGCGCAUAGUCAGUAAUGGUAGACGCGAAACCGUGUGAUCUACCCAUGGGCAGGAUGAAGCUGUGGUAACACAUAGUGGAGGUCCGAACCGGUUGACGUUGAAAAGUCUUCGGAUGACCUGUGGGUAGGGGUGAAAGGCCAAUCAAACUCGGAAAUAGCUCGUACUCCCCGAAAUGCAUUUAGGUGCAGCGCUGUGCGUAAAGUUAUAUAGAGGUAGAGCUACUGAUUGGAUGCGGGGGCUUCACCGCCUACCAAUUCCUGACAAACUCCGAAUGCUAUAUAAUGUUUCACAGCAGUGAGGGCUUGGGUGCUAAGGUCCAAGUCCGAGAGGGAAAGAACCCAGACCAUCAGCUAAGGUCCCCAAAUGUAUGUUAAGUUGAAAGAACGAGGUUUGUCUGCCCAGACAGCUAGGAUGUUGGCUUGGAAGCAGCCAUUCAUUUAAAGAGUGCGUAACAGCUCACUAGUCGAGCGGACGAGCAUGGAUAAUAAUCGGGCAUAAACAUACUACCGAAGCUAUGGAUUUUGUAGCAAUACAAAGUGGUAGGGGAGCAUUCUAACAGGGUUGAAGGUGUAUCGUAAGGUAUGCUGGACUGGUUAGAAAAGAAAAUGUAGGCAUAAGUAACGAUAAUGCGGGCGAGAAACCCGCACACCGAAAGACUAAGGUUUCCGCAGCUAUGCUAAUCAGCUGCGGGUUAGUCGGGACCUAAGGCGAACCCGAAAGGGACAGUCGAUGGCCAACGGGUUAAUAUUCCCGUACUUCUUAUAAUUGUGAUGGGGUGACGGAGUGAUGAAAGUACCGCGAACUGACGGAAUAGUUCGUUAAAGCACCUACCUAUAAAGAUCGCAGGCAAAUCCACGGUCUUUGGGGAAAUGCGAUAGUACACGGAGUCUUCGGACAAAGUGAUAGUGUACCUAAGGGCUUCCAAGAAAAACCUCUAAACUUAGAUUAUAAGAACCCGUACCGUAAACCGACACAGGUAGUCGAGGAGAGAAUCCUAAGGUGCUCGAGAGAUUCAUGGCUAAGGAAUUAGGCAAAAUAGACCUGUAACUUCGGGAGAAAGGUCGCCUCGUGGUAAGACACGAGGCCGCAGUGAAAAGGUCCAGGCGACUGUUUAUCAAAAACACAGGGCUCUGCAAAAUCGUAAGAUGAAGUAUAGGGCCUGACACCUGCCCGGUGCUGGAAGGUUAAGAGGAGAUGUUAUCUUCGGAGAAGCAUUGAAUUGAAGCCCCAGUAAACGGCGGCCGUAACUAUAACGGUCCUAAGGUAGCGAAAUUCCUUGUCGGGUAAGUUCCGACCUGCACGAAUGGUGUAACGAUCUGGACACUGUCUCAGCCAUGAGCUCGGUGAAAUUGUAGUAUCGGUGAAGAUGCCGAUUA
rnacentral:rRNA from 1 species